CAAUAGCGUAUAUUAAAGUUGUUGCGGUUAAAAAGCUCGUAGUUGGAUUUCUGCUGAGAACGACCGGUCCGCCCUUUGGGUGUGUAUCUGGCUCUUUCUUGGCAUCUUCUUGGUGAACGUUGCUGCACUUGACUGUGUGGAGCGCUACCCAGGACUUUUACUUUGAGGAAAUUAGAGUGUUUCAAGCAGGCAUACGCCUUGAAUACAUUAGCAUGGAAUAAUAAGGUAGGACCUCGGUUCUAUUUUGUUGGUUUCUAGAGCUGAGGUAAUGAUUAAUAGGGAUAGUUGGGGGCAUUCGUAUUUAACUGUCAGAGGUGAAAUUCUUGGAUUUGUUAAAGACGGACUACCGCGAAAGCAUUUGCCAAGGAUGUUUUCAUUGA
rnacentral:rRNA from 1 species